rnacentral:sRNA from 1 species
GCACCUGCAAAAUCAGGUGUCGGGAUUGGAACCCUGAUAAGUGUUACAGGCGACACGUGACGCGUCAGCGUCUUUUUU